UUUUAGCUGAUGAGUUCUAAACAGGACGAAACACGAGUCCUAGAU
rnacentral:hammerhead_ribozyme from 1 species